rnacentral:lncRNA from 1 species
CCAGUUCCCUCUCCCUCCCAUUCUCCCAUACCCUGAUGGGGGAAGUGCUUCUGUGUAUGUGUUUGUUUUGUUGGAUGAUAAAUAAAGUACAGUUUGGCCAAUGAGGCAGCAAGUUAGAUGGGACUAGGAGUCAAGGAGGAUUCUGGGAAAUGUAGUAAAGAAGUGGUGAUCCAUGCAGGAAGUGACAUAGCAGGGAGACUCAUAAACAAGGGCAAAAAGGAAGUGGGCCCCUUCUCUCUUCCUCCUGGUCUCUGCUGUAGAGUCACCAUGUGGUCCUGGGAUGAGGACACCAAUGGAAGGUGUCCGAUAAGGCUGUGUUGUCCACUGGGAAAGCAGCAGAAAUACCUGUCAGGCAGGAACCCCUGA